AUACCGUGGUGCGGACAUAUAACCAAUAUCCCUUUAAAUCAUUUCCAUGUUUCUUACAAUGUUUCCAUUGGUUUCUGUCUGAAGCUCAAAAUUUCAUCAAUUUGAUU
rfam:Nicotiana sylvestris Nsyl_contig59498, whole genome shotgun sequence.